AACACCUCAAAUCCUCUCUUCUUUUGAAUGAGUGAAUUUGGACUUGAGCAAUCCCAACGCUUCUCAAGAGCGGCGGGUUGCUUGAAAUGCAGGUGCAGCUGGACUUUUCUCUGAGCUAAAAGCAUAUCUAUUUAGUCCGCGUAAAAACCGGAUUAUUACUUUUGCUGCAGCUAACAUAAAGGAGAACCGUUCUUAUGCUGACUGAUGCAGGAUUAACAAAGAACGCUUCGGCAGCCUUUGUAA
rnacentral:misc_RNA from 1 species